GACGAACCGUCCAAACGUUAUUCGGAAUCACUGGGCUUAAAGGGCGCGUAGGCGGCCGAGCGGGUCGUUUGUGAAAUCCCCCAGCUUAACUGGGGAACUGCUGACGAUACCACUGCGGCUCGAGGAAGGAAGGGGUCAUGGGAACUGUCGGUGGAGCGGUGAAAUGCGUUGAUAUCGACAGGAACGCCGGUGGCGAAAGCGCAUGACUGGUCCUUUUCUGACGCUGAGGCGCGAAAGCCAGGGGAGCAAACGGG
rnacentral:rRNA from 1 species